rnacentral:lncRNA from 1 species
GAAAACAAUAUUUAAAUGUUUGCACAAAAAGUUUUUGGCUUGGGUUAGAGUGGAGAGAAGAAGAAGAAGGGCUAAGUCUUAAGUAAAAAAAAAGGAGGGAUGAAGAAUAAAAACCACAAUGGAGUCCCUCUCUUGAGAUCAUAUUGAUGAUCCAAGUAGCUCCCAUCCUUUGGAAUAAGCAACCAUAAAGUAUAAGCAAUCAAACAAGUC